AUACGUAGGGGGCGAGCGCUGUCCGGAUUUACUGGGCGUAAAGGGUGAGUAGGCGGUUAUAUAUGUCAGGUGUAAAAAGCUAUGGCUUAACCAUAGUAAGCACUUGAAACUGUAUGACUUGAGUGCAGGAGAGGUAAGCGGAAUUCCUAGUGUAGCGGUGAAAUGCGUAGAUAUUAGGAGGAACACCGGUGGCGAAGGCGGCUUACUGGACUGUAACUGACGCUGAGUCACGAAAGCGUGGGUAGCAAACAGGAUUAGAUACCCUGGUAGUCCACGCCGUAAACGAUGAGUGCUAGGUGUUGGGCAGCAAUGCUCAGUGCCGAAGUAAACACAAUAAGCACUCCGCCUGGGGAGUACGUACGCAAGUAUGAAACUCAAAUGAAUUGACGGGG
rnacentral:rRNA from 1 species